rnacentral:rRNA from 1 species
UAGGGAAUCUUCCGCAAUGGACGAAAGUCUGACGGAGCAACGCCGCGUGAGUGAAGAAGGAUUUCGGUUCGUAAAACUCUGUUGUUAGGGAAGAAAAAAUGUAUAGUAACUAUAUACAAAAGAGACGGUACCUAACCAGAAAGCCACGGCUAACUACGUGCCAGCAGCCGCGGUAAUACGUAUGGGGCGAGCGUUGUCCGGAAUUAUUGGGCGUAAAGGGUACGUAGGCGGUCUAUUAAGUCAGGUGUGCAAGCGUGAGGCUUAACCUCAUUAAGCACUUGAAACUGAUAGACUUGAGUGAAGGAGAGGAAAGUGGAAUUCCUAGUGUAGCGGUGAAAUGCGUAGAUAUUAGGAGGAAUACCGGUGGCGAAGGCGACUUUCUGGACUUUUACUGACGCUCAGGUACGAAAGCGUGGGGAGCAAACAGG